rnacentral:tRNA from 1 species
GGGCGUAUAGCUCAGUUGGCUAGAGCGCUGCCGUCACAUGGCAGAGGUCACAGGUUCAAGUCCUGUUACGCCCA